rnacentral:rRNA from 1 species
AUGGCAAACGUCGCCGAGCACCGCGUACAGAUGCGGGCAGCUCCUCCCGCCAGCAAGGUCGUCCCCGCUGCGCCCGAGAAGGGGCUGAAUCGCUUCGUGCACUCGAUCGCGCCGAUGGAGAGGGUCGGCAGCGCUCUGGGCACGCUGGCCUUCACAUGGGCGACCGUCGUCGUGCUCAGCGGCUACCCGACAGUGCUCCACGUGCUGGAUUUCUGGUUUGCCACGGCCAUAAUUUUCCUGGAAGGAUUGAGGAUGUUCAGUCGCAGCAACAGGGUAGACUACCAACUGUUCUUCCGUACGAGAGGUGCUAUAAAGUCUAUUGGCAGUAAUGAGCUGAGCUUGUUCGUAUGUUUCUCCAAUGUUCUGGUGUGCAUGAUUAUAAGGAACAACUAUGCAUCAACACACAUACGACCUUGGUUGGUGGCAAUACUUGCGAUUGGCCCAUUUCUAUGUCUAAGACUACUCCCAUCCAAUCCGCUACGCAAAGCAGCGUCAUUAUGGAGCCCGAUGGUUGCAGUUCUGUUGCUUUAUCCCCUGUUACGCCAUAGUAUUGAUGCUACUGAUGAAGGCAAUUUAAUCAUUCGCAAACUCAGUUUCAGAAACUCAACUGCCAAGUGGACACUGUACCUGGUACUACUUGCUGUUGUGCUCCUACAGACAAUCAGCAGGUUGCAGUUCCAAAGUAUCUCCAAACUAGUAGACCGGGCUCCCGGCAACAAAAUAGUAUUUUGGCGGCAAGUUGUUCUGAAUUUAUGCAUGUUUGCUACGGCAAUGAUGUUAAUGUUCACUUUUCAUGGCUACACUAAAUUCACCAUUGCCUCGCUAGACAUAAUGGCCCUAGUGAUAGUGUCAUUUGGCAACCUUCAGAUCCCAGCAGCAGUAUUGCGCAUCGUGCUGGGACUCUUGGGCGGCCUUAAAGUCGAUGACCACUACAAGGAAAACCUUGGGGACAUGAAAAAUCUUGUGCCAUCUCUCUACAUCUUUUAUGGGAUGCUGCUUGGCCAAGGAAUACUCUAUACCAUUGCCGGCAUACUUGAGAUUUUUUCAUUCAUCUUACGGAGAUCACUAGCCCGCCAGGCUGGAUUUAGCGGUCCCCAGGGAGUGGAAUAUGUCAAUUCAUACUAUGCAUAUGUCUUCAACAAAUGCAUGAAAGGGGCUGUGCUUGCUCCAGAGAAGAUUAGCCUCAUCACAUUUGCAGUGGAAUCUUUAAAUUCAGACUCACCCAAGAAGCAACUCUCUGGGGUUAAGAUGUUGGACAAUGUUCUGAAAAAGGAGAUCUUAAAGACUAAAGCUAUAUCAGAACUUACCACCUCCACAAAAACAGUGGCCUGCUUGGUUAACAUGUUGGGCUGGACAAGUGAAAGGGAUAAAGAUGUUAGAUUAUUUGCCACGAAGGUCUUUGCUGAGCUCGCAGAUAACCUCCGAAUUGUCUCUGUCCCUGGGGCAAUGCAGCUCAUAGGCUCACUUUUGGACACUGCCCACGAAUCGAAAGAAAGGGAUCCUCUAGGCGUUGAUAGCCCCGAGCCAAAACAAGAUAACUUGAUUCAGCAAGUUGGUGGAAAUGAACAGAGCUCCCGGGUGAUUAAAUGGUUGAAGAAGACGGCAAAAUAUUGUUUCAUUCCGAGGGAUGAGCCACGUAACAUGGAUGAACCAAAGCCCCAUAUAUUCAGAUUCUGGAAAAAGUCUGUUCCAAAGGAGGAGCCAUCGAAAGAUCAAGAUCUCCUCCCGGUACUGGGCAUGUUAAUUCUUGACAAGCUUGCUAGCUUUGAUCUCGAGAAUUGUAUAGAAAUCUGCAGAGACCCUGGUCUAACCACAAAGGUUAUAGAGUUCACAAGCAAUAGACCCAACAUGACAUAUAGUAAUGAGACACACAAGACACUGCUGAAACGUUCAUCACUGAAGCUACUUUGCAGACUUGCAAAGACUAAAGGGAAAAUUGGUGUAACUAUGCGUCAGAAUAUUUCAGAACAUCCCUUCCUUUUGAGCAAUCUUGUGGAGAUCUUGGAUAACAAUGAUAGCAGCCAUGAACUGAGGGAGAUCACAACAGAACUCAUUAAGAACAUUGCCAUGGAGGAAAAUAUAAAGGAGGAGAUCGGACACAUCCCAGUGAUCAUUAGCAGGUUGAUGGAUGCAUUUCUCAGCCAAAGUGCUCUCUCAAGAACAGAUUCAGCUCAGUUGCUACAAAUGACCUCCGGGCAAGCAUUGGCAGUUCCGGCAAUGGAGAGUGCGAACAACUGCUUAAUUAUGUUAGCGGAACCACACUCAUUCAUCAAGGAACUCACAGUUAUGAUCCAUGGUGACAGGUACAGGUACGUAGCUUCGAGCCUGUUGCAGAAUAUGUGUGUGCAUGUUCGACCUGAGCUUGGCAACUCGGACCUGAAGGAAAUCUCCUACAUUCUGAGAGAGGUGCUGGAAGGAAUAAUGGAUGCAGAAGGGACUGAACUGGAGGUCCUUGUUGGCCUUAGUUCACAAAUAUGUAAUGUCAUUCCUGGCGAUUUUGCACGAGAACUAGAGCAUGGUCAGAUCAAGGAAAGAUUCAUAAAGAGACUUGUCGACGCACUUAACUCAAAUAUGAUACCCACUGCUCAUUGUCCUGGAAUCAGAAGGGCGAUAGUUGAACAUACCAUAUGCAUGAUGGAGUGUAAUCCUGAGUACGCCGGCUGUUUCAAGGAAUGUUGGAUGAUGGAAGCACUGCUAAUGAUGGAGCGUACACCUUCAAGGGCUGAAAAGUACAGGUUCUUCUCGGGUGAUGCAGGACUCAUGGAGCACAGCAUAACUCUAUCUGCACUUGUGGCUAGAGCAAAAGAACUGAUGGACCAUGAGUAG